CCUGGGCUUUCACCUCACCGGGCUGGGAUGUCGUUGGUGGUGGUGCUUACGCAGAGUGCUGAGAAAUGGGCCAAGCCUGCUGAUGAUAAGUAAUUGGUGAUAAGACAAACGCUAGAGGUUGGCACAAAACCAACCCCCAGAUCCAACACCUCCAAACUCAGGGGAAUGUCGGAUUCUGGUCCAGAUCUGCUGCCCUGCCUGGCUCUAAAGCCCUCCAGGAGCCUGUAAUGAAGAUGGUGACUCUAGCAACACAGGAUUAAUUGUGAUCUCUCCUGCAGAGGGGAUUCCUUGAAGAACUUUGUCAGCCAAAACUUUUGUAUCACAUUUUCAGACACUAUAAAAACAGUGGCGAAAAUCAGAAUAGUUCCCUGGAAAUCAACCAAGUACUGAUCUUGCAAGACAUCAGCGUUCUCAUACGGAUUUCAUUGCUUUGUGGAUACGUGUUCCCAUGCUUUGUUAUAAUCAAUGCUUGGAAAUAUUUAAUUUCUCAGUUUAAUUACGAAUGAAGGACCCUGUUUUGAUACUCAUAUGUUGAGUAAUACUUUACUCUGCAAAUAGGCUCACUGAUAUCAACACCACAGCCCUGAUGCAAAGCUCACUGAAGUCAGUGGGACUGCUAAUGAAAUAAGGUACAACAGUGGGAGGGAGGGAGGCAGAAUGGAGCCCAGAGAGAUCUGUGACUGUGGCCUGUUCUCUUCCUUCAGUUCUCUCUCCGAGGUCCCAUCUCUUAGGCUCCUUUGUUCUUUUCACAAAAUAAUCCCUGUGAGCAUUAAUCAAAGCUCUGAAUACACACUGACUCAAUGGCUGUUUAAGGAACUACUUGCUCUGGGUUUGUUCCCUCAGAGGGAGCCUCAUUAAGACCAUCAGUAUAGUUUAGAACUUAGAUACUUGCUAUUGUCUUCCUGGUCUGUUAUUUUUUAUCUCGUUUUUCACUUUAAUUCAAGAGGGCGCUAUUGAUACUCAGUGGCAGGUUUAGUAAAUACUGAUAACAUGGAUUGAUACAACACUGCAUUUG